rnacentral:misc_RNA from 1 species
GGCUGGAUCACCUCCUUUUUAGGGAGACCUACCCAAACAGGAAUCGAAAGCAAUCAGCAAAUAGAUACUGAUUUUGGUCUACUCUAGGUCGGUCGAGAAUCGGAAGUCUCUUUCAAAGUAUUAUUAAAGCUCUGGUGAAAUUCAGCACCUAGGAAAUCCCUAGACUGCUGGAUGAAAGUCCAGUCAGAACCUUGAAAACUGCAUAGUAACGCGAGGCAGUUCAGUAAUCUAGUGCGAAAGCAACAGAUAAACUGAC